GCGGGCGUAACUCAGUUGGUAGAGUGUCAGCUUCCCAAGCUGAAUGCCGGGGGUUCGAAUCCCCUCGCCCGCU
rnacentral:tRNA from 1 species